rnacentral:rRNA from 1 species
GACGAACGCUGGCGGCGUGCUUAACACAUGCAAGUCGAGCGGUAAGGCCCUUUCGGGGGUACACGAGCGGCGAACGGGUGAGUAACACGUGGGUGACCUGCCCUCAGCUCUGGGAUAAGCCUGGGAAACCGGGUCUAAUACUGGAUAUGACUCCAUGACGCAUGUUGUGGGGUGAAAGCCUUGUGCGGCUGAGGAUGGGCCCGCGGCCUAUCAGCUUGUUGGUGGGGUGANGGCCUACCAAGGCGACGACGGGUAGCCGGCCUGAGAGGGCGACCGGCCACACUGGGACUGAGACACGGCCCAGACUCCUACGGGAGGCAGCAGUGGGGAAUCUUGCGCAAUGGGCGAAGGCCUGACGCAGCGACGCCGCGUGAGGGAUGACGGCC